rnacentral:rRNA from 1 species
CCUACGGGUGGCAGCAGUGGGGAAUAUUGCACAAUGGGCGCAAGCCUGAUGCAGCCAUGCCGCGUGUGUGAAGAAGGCCUUCGGGUUGUAAAGCACUUUCAGCGGGGAGGAAGGCGGUGAGGUUAAUAACCUCAUCGAUUGACGUUACCCGCGGAAGAAGCACCGGCUAACUCCGUGCCAGCAGCCGCGGUAAUACGGAGGGUGCAAGCGUUAAUCGGAAUUACUGGGCGUAAAGCGCACGCAGGCGGUCUGUCAAGUCGGAUGUGAAAUCCCCGGGCUCAACCUGGGAACUGCAUUCGAAACUGGCAGGCUAGAGUCUUGUAGAGGGGGGUAGAAUUCCAGGUGUAGCGGUGAAAUGCGUAGAGAUCUGGAGGAAUACCGGUGGCGAAGGCGGCCCCCUGGACAAAGACUGACGCUCAGGUGCGAAAGCGUGGGGAGCAAACAGGAGUAGAUACCCUGGUAGUC